rnacentral:tRNA from 4 species
GCGGCAUUAGCUCAGCUGGAUAGAGCGUUUGACUACGAAUCAAAAGGUCGUAGGUUCGAAUCCUACAUGCCGCACCA